rnacentral:misc_RNA from 1 species
UAUGUAUAUGCACACAUACACACAGAU